AUUGAACGCUGGCGGCAGGCCUAACACAUGCAAGUCGAACGGUAACAGGAAGAAGCUUGCUUCUUUGCUGACGAGUGGCGGACGGGUGAGUAAUGUCUGGGAAACUGCCCGAUGGAGGGGGAUAACUACUGGAAACGGUAGCUAAUACCGCAUAACGUCGCAAGACCAAAGAGGGGGACCUUCGGGCCUCUUGCCAUCGGAUGUGCCCAGAUGGGAUUAGCUAGUAGGUGGGGUAACGGCUCACCUAGGCGACGAUCCCUAGCUGGCCUGAGAGGAUGACCAGCCACACUGGAACUGAGACACGGUCCAGACUCCUACGGGAGGCAGCAGUGGGGAAUAUUGCACAAUGGGCGCAAGCCUGAUGCAGCCAUGCCGCGUGUAUGAAGAAGGCCUUCGGGUUGUAAAGUACUUUCAGCGGGGAGGAAGGGAGUAAAGUUAAUACCUUUGCUCAUUGACGUUACCCGCAGAAGAAGCACCGGCUAACUCCGUG
rnacentral:rRNA from 1 species